GACGAACGCUGGCGGCACGCUUAACACAUGCAAGUCGAACGGAAAGGCCUGCUUUCCCUUGUGGAUUGCGGGUACUCGAGUGGCGAACGGGUGAGUAACACGUGAGUGAUCUGCCCCCAACUUGGGUAUAAGCCUGGGAAACUGGGUCUAAUUCCCGAUAGGACGGCAGGGUGGUGCCUGUGGUGGAAAACGAUUUGCUAGUGGUUGGGGAUGAGCUCGCGGCCUAUCAGCUUGUUGGUGGGGUAAUGGCCUACCAAGGCGGCGACGGGUAGCCGGCGUGAGAGGGUGGACGGCCACAUUGGGACUGGGUUACGGCCCCGACUCCUACGGGAGGCAGCAGUGGGGAAUAUUGCACAGUGGGCGGAAGCCUGAUGCAGCGACGCCGCGUGGGGGAUGACGGCCUUCGGGUUGUAAACUCCUUUCGACCGCGAGGAAGCCACCUGGUUGGAGGGGUGGUGACGGUAGUGGUAGAAGAAGCACCGGCUAACUACGUG
rnacentral:rRNA from 1 species